GGGGGAUAAAUUAAUAAAGUAUAAAUAAUAAAAAAAUUUUUAAUAUUAAAAUAACUUAAUGGGGGUUAAAGUAUUUUUAAUAGAAAAAAUAAUAAAAAAUUUAUAGAAAAUUAGUAUUGUAAAAGAAAUUUGAAAUAUAAUGAAAAUAAAUUUAUGUUAAAGUAAAUUUAAUUUAUUGUACCUUGUGUAUCAGGGUUUAUUAAUAAUAUUUUUUAUUUAAAAAUUUUCUCGAAUUUAAAAGAGAUAAUUAGUUAUUAAAGUUAAUGUUGUAUAAUUAUUUUAAAUAAUUAAUUUGAAAUGAAAUGUUAAUCGUUUUUAAAUAUAUCUAGUUUUUUUAGAAAAAAAUUUAAUUUUAAAUUUUAGAAAAUAUAAUUUUAAUUAAUUAAAAUUAUAUUUUUAAAAUUAAGUAUUUUAAGGGAUAAGCUUUAAAAUAAAUUUUUAUAAUAAAUUUAAUAUUAAUAAUUAAAAUUUUUAAGAUUUAUAUUGUUUAUAAAUUAUAAUUUUUUAUAAAUAAUUUUAAUUAAUUUAAAAUUUAAAAUUUAUUUAAUUUUUUAUUAAAAAAUAUUUUUUAAUAAUUUAAAUUUAGGUAUAAUGAUAAAAUUAGUAUAUAAUUAAAUAAAAAUAAUUUAUUAUUUGAUAAUUUAAUAAAAGGAAUUCGGCAAAAACUUAUAUUCACUUGUUUAUCAAAAACAUGUCUUUUUGAAUUAAUAAUUUAAAGUUUAAUUUGCCCCCUGAUAAUAUAUUAAAGGGCUGCAGUAUUUUGACUGUACAAAGGUAGCAUAAUCAUUAGUCUUUUAAUUGGUGACUUGUAUGAAAGAUUUAAUGAGAUAUAUACUGUUUCUUUUUAAUUUGUAGAAUUUAAUUUUUUAGUUAAAAAGCUAAAAUUUAUUUAAAAGACGAGAAGACCCUAUAGAGUUUUAUAUUUAAAUUAUAUUAAAAUUUUUUGUAAAAUUUAUUAUUUUAAUAUAUAUGUAAAUAUUUUGUUGGGGUGAUAAAAAAAUUAAAAUAACUUUUUUUAUAAUUUUACAUUAAUAAAUGAAUAAAUGAUCCGUAAUUUACGAUUAUAAGAAAAAAUUACCUUAGGGAUAACAGCGUAAUUUUUUUUUUUAGUUCUAAUAAGAAAAAGAGUUUGCGACCUCGAUGUUGGAUUAAGAUAAAAUUUAAAUGCAAAAGUUUAAAAUUUUUGAUCUGUUCGAUCAUUAAAAUCUUCCCUGAUUGGAGUUCAAACCCGGGUUAGCCAGGGUGGUUUCUAUCCUUUAAAUUGAUAAAAUAUUUUAGUACGAAAGGAUUAAAUAUUUAAAAUAAUUUUAUAUGUUAAGAAUUUUAAUAAUAAUAAUAAUCAAUUUAAAUGUA
rnacentral:rRNA from 1 species